AUUGAACGCUGGCGGCAGGCCUAACACCUGCAAGUCGAGCGGAGCGGCGGACGGGUGAGUAAUGCCUAGGAAUCUGCCUGGUAGUGGGGGAUCACGUCCGGAAACGGGCGCUAAUACCGCAUACUAUCAGAUGAGCCUCGGUCGGAUUAGCUAGUUGGUGGGGUAAAUGCCUACCAAGGCGACGAUCCGUAACUGGUCUGAGAGGAUGACCAGUCACACUGGAACUGGGACACGGUCCAGACUCCUACGGAAGGCAGCAGUGGGGAAUAUUGGACAAUGGGCUAAAGCCUGAUCCAGCCAUGCCGCGUGUGUGAAGAAGGUCUUCGGAUUGUAAAGUACUUUAAGUUGGGAGGCGUUACCAACAGAAUAAGCAACGGCUAACUUCGUGCCAGCAGCCGCGGUAAUUC
rnacentral:rRNA from 1 species